ACGGGCCCUAGAGGUGUUGCCGAUGUGGCUACUGUGUCAUCUGUAGGUGUUGGAAAGAAGAGAAGCUAUUUUUAUGCUCAGUGUUCUGACAUGUGUUGAGGCUUGGCCUU
rnacentral:snoRNA from 1 species